rnacentral:lncRNA from 1 species
AGAAAUUCAGAAUCACCACGGAAAUGUGUUUAAUAUUUUGUUUACAUAGUCUUUUGAAAGUUGAUCCUAGUUUCUUAGUAAAAUGAAUUUUACUUUUAAAAAUCUUAACAUUUCAGCGAAAUUUUCAAAUUUUAUUUUUGGAAAUAGAAAUAAUAUUAAACUAUCCAAUUCAACCUUUACUAUAAUGAGAUAUUUUUUGAACUAAAGCAAAAUAUCAAUAUUUUGUCAGAGUUAAAGUAAAAAAAAUAUAUUCUGUUAAUAAUCUCACUUUUCAUAUAAGUGAUAUUGUUUAACAUUAAUUCAGAAUUUUUAAGCACUAAAUGGAAAUAUCUCUUGUGAUUUAGUAACAUAAAGUAAUAGGUUAAAAUACUUUUUUUUUAUCAUCUUAAGUGUAAAGUCUUAAGUGUCAAUAUAAUCAAAAUAUAGUUUAUUAGAGUAUAAAGUGAAAAAAAGAAAGAAAAGUGACAAAUAUAUAACUUGAUUCGUAAAUUUAAAUAGGCAGAAACAAUCUUAAUUCGAAUGAUCUUAAUAAAAACGAUAAGAUGAAUAAAUGUUUAAUUUUAUCAAAAAAAAUUUUUUUUUUUUCACAUUCAUUUAAUAAUAACACAAAAGCCUUUAGGGCUCUAAUAAUUUUUUAAUUUGGUUCUGAUUUUGUAUUUUUUAAUAUUUACUACUUGUUUCAUUUGUAAAAAUAUAAAUAAUUCUUUUUUUAAUUCUUUUAAGCGGAGAGCCGAACCAUCAUUUUCUAAAGUAGAGUCAAUCUUUUCUUUUUUUUAUUGUAAAAUAACAUAGAAUUGUUAUAGAAACUUUUACUUCUAACCACAUUUGAUUUCAAGCUCUACAAAUUAUAAUCAUUUUAAUGCAAGUUUUUUUCUUAAUUUAAGCUCUUUUAUUGCUCAAUUCAAAGAAAGCUUAGACAAAUUACAAACACCAUACACAUGUACUAAUUUUUAUUCUAUUUAAAUUUUAAAAAUAUGUUGAGGAAAAUUGACGUGAUCAUUAAUGAUGUUGAUGUUUCCAGUAGAAUUUGCUCUUGUUCUCAUAUCAUUUGCUAAAUAUUGUUUUUAAAACCUUGUCCUUUGAUAUGAUUCUGCUUUCCAUUUUUUUGAGUUUUCCCGAGAAAUGAAAUUGACAUAUUUGAAAGUCUAAUUUGACAAUAAGUAAAAUUUUGCUAUUGAUUUGAAAAACCAGUGGGUUCGCUAUUCUGUCGCCAACUCCCUCCACUACAUCCUGACGUGUACUUAUUAUUUUAAAGGGGAUAUUUUUGUAUAGGUAGCUAUUUGUGUUAACCACUAAUGCCAAAAGAAUAUUAAACUUUUGAAAAUUUAAAAUAUAUAUAUUUAUUGAAGUUAGUACUGGGGUGGCUAUAGUUGUUUUGUUUUUUUUUAGUUUCUCUUGGGCCAUUGCCUGAAUAUGCCAAGCGUUGGCAAUUAUUUUGGUGCCUGUAUGCGGAAAUUUUCCACUUUAAGAGAAAACUGAAAUUAUUAAUUUAUAGUGUAUGUUUUUAAAAAUAUGAAUUAAUUAAAUUUUUAACAAAUGAAGUGCAUAAUUUUUAGUAAGCAACCUAAGAAUGGAAACCAAAAUUUAUUGCCCACAAAAGCCUUUUGUGUAUUUAUAAUUAGGUAUAGAAAUUUAACUCUAAAUUAUUAUUUCAUAGAUUUAGUACAAACUUCUAUCUUUUUAUUUUAGUAUUUUUAUAUUAAUUGUAUUGUUACUAAAUUACAAAAGAAUUGUGAUAGUUUUUUAUGAUUUGUUUUAUCACGUUCUUCAUUUCAUAACCUGUGUUUUUCAUUUCACAAACUGUGUUCUUCAUUUAUGUUUAGCUCUGGUUGGUGUUAGAAAUUAGGAAGGGAUUUAAUCUUUAAAGCUAGUGAUAAUUUUUGAGGCAAUUAUAAAUGUGUUAAAGCAACUUAAUUCUUUUUAGUUUUGUAGCACUGUUUGACACUUCAAUAUAUGCUUAUUUGCAAGCUUUACCUAGAGGUAGAAAUUAUGUUAGAUAAUUUAUAUUCAUAAAACUAAUUUAAAUUCUAACUACUUGAGUUACAUAAUAUCAUGCAACUUAUGAAAUUAAAUACUUAAUAAGUUGUCCAUUUUGUCAAAAAUGAAUUAUGUGUGUUUCAAAAUUGUUAUGUUUUUGAUACUGUUAUUCAAAAUUUCAGUCUCUUGAAUUGUUUAUUAGCAGAGAACUUAUUUUAAUUUUAAUAUGAAAUUGGAGUGGUUUUAAAACUAAAAGAAAAAGAGAAACUAGAAUAAAAGUUUAUUUGAAGGUUUUUGAUAACUGUCUGUGAAUUGCUUUCCCACUGGAGUGGAGUCACUUCAGAGUCAAACCUGAGAUAAAAAUAAUCGUUUCUCUUUCAAUAAAUUAGAUGUUAUUCUUUAAUUUUUAUAAUUGGUGAUCGUAAAAGACUACAAGUGGUGCAGUGUAGAACUCUACCUAUGGCAACACUUUGCAUGCUUUCACCAUUUCAUUUGGGUAGUCAUAGGAGAAUGAAGUAUGUUAGUUUCUGUUCUAAAAAUAAUUUCUAUCAGACAGAUUAAAAAUUUUUAAGUUAAAGCAGUAUAAGGAACUCAAAAUUGCACUAAACAUAGUUCUUGAAGAAAGCGUUUUGGAAAUUUAAGAAGAUAUUUUUGCAAAUUAAAUGCAAAUUAUAUUAUGGCAAGAAAAAUUUUUCUAGAACAUUUCCAUUCAACUGAGCAGAAAAGGAGAAGGAAGGAGGGGGAGACAUGGAAAUCAAUCUUCUCCUCAGAUAGCAUAUUUGAGUGUUGCUACAGCGAAUUAUAUUCUUACUUUUUUAAAGUUUAAUUUAUUUUCCAUAUUUUUAUAAGAUACGGUUUAAAAUCAGACAAUGUAUAACAGUCUUUUUUUUUAUCAGUAACCCUGAGCUCAGUUCAGUUAAUUUUUCUGUGUUCUGAACAUUUCUAAUACAUAUAUGUAUAUAUUUAUUAGAAAGAAAAUAUUUCAUAUAAAUUUGCCUCAGUAGCUCAAGGGUUAAAAGGUUGAAAUAAGAUUUAGUAAAAUUAUUUUCAAAUAUGGGUUAUAGCAAUUUUAUUUUUUUUAUUCUAAAGAUAUGGAUUUGCAAUAUUUUUCUUCAUACUAAAUUAAGUAUAAUUUUUUAAUAUCUUUAUCCUGGAAAUUCUUUUGUAGGCCUUGUUUAAAUUUUAUGUCUAAAUUCAUAAAAUGUUUUUUCUCCCUCUUUAACUUCAAAUCGGAAAAUUGUAUAUCCUUAUUAGAAAAAUUUUAGGCAUGAAUGCUGGUGGCUGAAUAGGUUAAUAGAUUUAUUUAUGUUAAUUUUCACAUUUUCUCUUAAUUUUUUUUUCUGUUUCGGCAAUUUGCUUAGUAUUUUUAUAAAUUAUUUCAGCGUGAUGAUGGCAAAUUUAAUUAACUUUAUAAGAAUUUGUGCUUAUGUAAUUAGUAUGCAUUUCUUUUACUAGGUAUUAUUUGCGAUUCUCGUUUUUAAAAUUUAUUUUAAAUCAUUUACUGUUGUUUCAUUAAAUGCUUCUUUUUAUAUAGAAUUUUUACUUUUAAAUUAAUCUGAGUUAUGAGUUAUUAAUUAUGAGUCAACAUGUUUUUAUAUUAGUUAUAAAUAUUUUAUCUUGAAUUGAAUCUGUUUUUACUUGUUUCUAUGUAUCCUAUUUUGGAUACAUUGAAAGCAUUUAUUGCAUUUUAUUAUUAAAGCAUUUAUUACAUUAAAUACUUUUAUUCUUAACUAAUGUAAAUUAAAAUUAAAUCAUCAAAUAUAGGUUGUUCAUUACCUAUCUGAUACUUACUCUUAAGAAAUCCCAUUUAUUUUAGAGCUAAAAAAUUAGUUUAAAAUUAAAUUUCUUUUCUUUGGUGUAAUAAAAAAUUUUGAAUUAUAAUAAUACUAGAUGAAUUGAACUUAAAGAGAUACUAAGAUUUUUUAAAAAAAAAUACAUAGCUAUAUAUAUACAUAUAUUUUAAUCAAAUGUGUUUUGAUAAGUAUUGGUUUUUCUUCAAAAAUAUAUUGUAAAUAUUCAUUCUAUGCGACAUAAUGUUUAAAUAUGACUAUGUUUAAAUUAGGUAUUUGCGACUUAAGUCUAUAUAUGUAUAUACUAGGCUGCUUUUUAAAUUUUAUUUAGGUUUGACCUUGGAAAGUUGAGGGGAAAAAAUUUACGUAAUUGCAUUACUAUUACGUUAUUAUUUUUAAUUUAUUUAUUGAAACCAUACUUGUGAUAAAAUAUUUUUUCUUUUUUGAUAAAAUAUUGAUGAAAUUGUGCUGCUUCAAGUUUUUUUAAAUUUUUUUAACUAUUAUUAUAUACAGUGUGUAUAACUUAAACUAUGAAUAUUUUUGCUUUUAUUAUUUUUAGGGAGUUGGCAGUUUUUUUUAAUCAUUUCAUAUUUUCACCCGAAAUAAAAGCAUUAAAUUUGAACUGAUUUAUGCUACUACUAUAACAGUUAAUUGUAUUUAAAAGUAAAUUUUUUUUUAGCAUAAGGAGAAAUAGUAAUCAAUGUUUAUGAUUUGUUAAUUUAUAAUUUACUUAAAUUGGUUGAUACUUUUAUGUGCAUGUGAGAUACAGAGAACUAACCUACUUAAAUUAUUUAAUGCUGUUAAACUACUUCAUUUGUCCAGUUUUAAGUCUGUACUUAAAUGAUUUGUUUUAAAAAAUUUUGUAAUUAAAAUUUAUUCUUCUAUUUGACAUUUAAAUUGGCACCCAACACAACAUAUAAAUUUAUUUAAAAAAGUAACUUUUUGGACCUUGACUUAUUUUAUUAUCUAUUAUCUUCUAAACAUUGUAGAACAUGGUCAUGUACUUCUAAGGUUUUAUAGGCACAUUGCUCUUGUUUCAAACAUCUUUUUCAAUUUGAGUAAAGAUAUUCUUUAUUUAUAGCAAUUUUUCCCCCCAUCAAAAUUAGAGGCAAUGUGAAUCGGCUUAUAAUGACAUGAUUAUGUUCCUUAUGUUUGAAGGGAUUUUUGGCCUAAAUUGUCUGAGAGGGUAUUAACUUCAAAGUACAUGUUUUGCUUGAUAUAAGUGAUUAUAUUAAUGUUAUGUCUACCGAUGAUUUGCAAGAUUACAUAAUUAUGUUGACUAAAUAAAUGUAAAUUUAUAACUAAAA